AUUGAACGCUGGCGGAAUGCUUAACACAUGCAAGUCGAGCGGGCUGUAGCAAUACAGCUAGCGGCGGACGGGUGAGAAAUACAUAGGAAUCUGCCUCAGAGUGGGGGAUAGCCCGGGGAAACCCGGAUUAAUACCGCAUGAUGUCGUAAGACCAAAGCAGGGGACCGUAAGGCCUUGCGCUUUGAGAUGAGCCUAUGUCGGAUUAGCUAGUUGGCGGGGUAAAAGCCCACCAAGGCGACGAUCCGUAGCUGGUCUGAGAGGACGAUCAGCCACACCGGAACUGAGACACGGUCCGGACUCCUACGGGAGGCAGCAGUGGGGAAUAUUGGACAAUGGGCGCAAGCCUGAUCCAGCAAUUCCGCGUGUGUGAAGAAGGCCU
rnacentral:rRNA from 1 species